rnacentral:rRNA from 1 species
AUACGGAGGGUGCGAGCGUUAAUCGGAAUUACUGGGCGUAAAGCGUGCGUAGGCGGUUUGCUAAGUCAGAUGUGAAAGCCCCGGGCUUAACCUGGGAACUGCAUUUGAUACUGGCAGACUAGAGUAUGAUAGAGGGGGGUAGAAUUCCUGGUGUAGCGGUGAAAUGCGUAGAUAUCAGGAGGAAUACCAGUGGCGAAGGCGGCCCCCUGGAUAAAUACUGACGCUGAGGUACGAAAGCGUGGGGAGCGAACAGGAUUAGAAACCCUAGUAGUCC